GGGUUUAUGGCUCAGUGGUAGAGUGCUUGCCUCACACAUAAGAGGCCCUGGGUUCGAUCCUCAGCACCA
rnacentral:tRNA from 1 species